rnacentral:tRNA from 1 species
GGAGAUAUAAGGGGUUUUAUCCGUUUCACGCCCCUCGAAAUCAAGUUGUCCGAAAGGGCACGUGGGUUCGAAUCCCACCGUCUCCGCCA